UACGUAGGGUGCGAGCGUUGUCCGGAAUUAUUGGGCGUAAAGAGCUCGUAGGCGGCUUGUCGCGUCGGAUGUGAAAGCCCGGGGCUUAACCCCGGGUCUGCAUUCGAUACGGGCAGGCUAGAGUUCGGUAGGGGAGAUCGGAAUUCCUGGUGUAGCGGUGAAAUGCGCAGAUAUCAGGAGGAACACCGGUGGCGAAGGCGGAUCUCUGGGCCUUACCUGACGCUCAGGCACGAAAGCUAGGGGAGCGAACAGG
rnacentral:rRNA from 1 species